GCCAUGUGAUGAGACCAAGGCACAUGUGACUCCUUUGUCCUCUGGGUGUAACCUCUGCCCGUUGCCCUCGGUCUGUAAUCUUGGUGGCCGCGGAGAAGGAUCUCGCUGCCGCUGUAAGGCCAGACCCACAGCAGCUGUUACAGCUGGUCUUUCUCAGCCUGUUUCUGAUCUGCCCACCAGAGUGAGUGUGCGGAGUCUGAGGGGGACCUACAGGAUGGACCAUGGGCUAGAUAGAGGGAGCAGGGCAGAGGUGAAUGCUCGCGGAGAGAGGUGAUGGGGAGACAUGAGCACAUGUCUUUGGUAAUCUGAUGGCA